AUUGAACGCUGGCGGCAGGCCUAACACAUGCAAGUCGCACGAGUGGCGGACGUGUGAGUAAUGUCUGGGAAACUGCCUGAUGGAGGGGGAUAACUACUGGAAACGGUAGCUAAUACCGCCUACCCUACGAUGUGCCCAGAUGGGAUUAGCUUGUUGGUGGGGUAACGGCUCACCAAGGCGACGAUCCCUAGCUGUUCUGAGAGGAUGACCAGCCACACUGGAACUGAGACAAGGACCAGACUCCUACGGGAGGCAGCAGUGGAGAAGAGUGCACAAUGGGCGCAAGCCUGAUGCAGCCAUGCCGCGUGUAUGAAGCAGGCCUUCGGGUGGUAAAGUACUUUCAGCGGGGAGGCGUUACCCGCAGAAGAAGCACCGGCUAACUCCGUGCCAGCAGCCGCGGUAAUUC
rnacentral:rRNA from 1 species